CUACGGGUGUCUGCAGUGGGGAAUAUUGGACAAUGGGCGAAAGCCUGAUCCAGCCAUGCCGCGUGUGUGAAGAAGGCCUUCGGGUUGUAAAGCACUUUCAGUGGGGAAGAAAGCCUUGGGGCUAAUACCCUCGAGGAAGGACAUCACCCACAGAAGAAGCACCGGCUAACUCCGUGCCAGCAGCCGCGGUAAUACGGAGGGUGCGAGCGUUAAUCGGAAUUACUGGGCGUAAAGCGCGCGUAGGCGGUCUGAUAAGCCGGUUGUGAAAGCCCCGGGCUCAACCUGGGAACGGCAUCCGGAACUGUCAGGCUAGAGUGCAGGAGAGGAAGGUAGAAUUCCCGGUGUAGCGGUGAAAUGCGUAGAGAUCGGGAGGAAUACCAGUGGCGAAGGCGGCCUUCUGGACUGACACUGACGCUGAGGUGCGAAAGCGUGGGUAGCAAACAGGAUUAGAUACCCGGGUAGUC
rnacentral:rRNA from 1 species